rnacentral:rRNA from 1 species
GGGCCCGCACAAGCGGUGGAGUAUGUGGUUUAAUUCGAUGCAACGCGAAGAACCUUACCAGGGUUUGACAUCCUGCGAAUCUCUUGGAAACAGGAGAGUGCCUUCGGGAACGCAGUGACAGGUGGUGCAUGGCUGUCGUCAGCUCGUGUCGUGAGAUGUUGGGUUAAGUCCCGCAACGAGCGCAACCCACGUCUUUAGUUGCCAGCAUUAGUUGGGCACUCUAGAGAGACUGCCGGUGAUAAACCGGAGAAGGUGUGGAUGACGUCAAGUCAUCAUGCCCUCUCAUCGUGGGCUACACACGUACUACAAUGCUACGGACAAAGGGCAGCAAGUUCGCGAGGACAAGCAAAUCCCAUAAACGUGGCUCAG